AAAGUGACUGAUAUGUAGGCUGAGUAAUCUCUUUUCGUCCUUCCAGAUUCACCCCCACCUUGUCUGCCCUACUCUGUGCCACAGGAGGCUGACCUGAAUGACAACAUAAACCAGGCUCCUUUGCUCUCUGUCCUCAGUUGUAUUUGAGCCACAGAAUCUUAGUGCUUCAGAAUUCUGUGGAUACUCUUCACUCCAAAACCUGAGCCUAACCUUCCUCUUGAGGCCUGUCAGCUAUAUGACCUUGGGAGAGUGUGUGGAUUAUUUCUGGCUGAGAGUGGAAGGAGAAAUCGCAUGGGAAAGGAAAUCCUCACACGAAUGUCAGCUGAAUUUUGGAUGAGGAUACAGUCCAGAUGCCAUAAAAUUAUUAGCAGAAGCUGAAAAUCUGCUUUGAAGGAUAUAUUCCUGACAUUUCUAUGGAAACAAGAAGACUGUGAAUGGAAAGCCUUCAGGCAUGAAUGAGCUUAAUAAGUCAUGGAUUCUGGGUUAGUGUUUGAAAGGCUGGAUUUGUAUAACAGUAUGCUUCACAGUUAAAGGCUGCGGAAAGAGGAGAAGGUAACUCAGGAAAGGGGCCCAACUCACUCAGGCACAUUCAUUUUAAUAAAGUUCACAGAAAGCACCUGUUCUUGGAACACACCAACAUGAUGUGAGAAAGCCUAAGCAGAGACCCAUGCAUGAGCUUACCUACGUACGUGCUCAAGCAAUAACCCCAGAAGAGAACCAACCACCAGUAUUAGCCUCAAGACACAUGAAUAAAUGUCUUCAGAUGAUUCAAGCUCCUAGCCAUCAAGUCACCUGCAGUAUUUGAAGAUUCUAAUUGAGACCCCAGAUGGACCAGCAUGGAGAUUUCCCUGGCAUAACUUGUUCUUUUACAUCUGUGGAGCAGCAGUGAGUUGAUCAUGUGUCUUCUUGAAGAUCAAGACUGGUGAGGAUGUUUGGAUAAUAAUCAAAAGACCACGUUGGACACCAUAGACUUAAAAAUAUUUAACAGCAUCCUCUCUGUUCUAAUAUGAACUCUGAAGAAAUAGCUGCAGUAGGAUACAGAAAAAGCUUCAAACUACAUUCAUGGGAAACAAUAGUAACGGUUAUUGGAAUUAGUCACUGCUAAAUACCCUCUUAUUACAGAACAUUUGGAUGGUUCUAGCUAAUGCCAGAGAAGGGUAGAUUUCAUAAAAAGAUAAGGAACGAUUAAGGAAAAUCAUGAAUAAGGAGAAGAGGAAGACUGGAACAUUUAUCAAGACAGAAUCAUAGUAUGUAAGGCAAUAAAGGAGUCUUGGAGUGUAAUGAGAGAGAAUUUGCUACAUCUAGUUGCAUCCAUGCAAACAUGGUACUGAGACUUUCUUUUCCACCUUAGUAUUGACACGUCUGUUUAUCAAGAGCCCCAUUUUUUGCAUUCAGGUAUUUGCAACUAAUUUAGAUUCUUCAAAACAGUGGGUUCCCAAGAGACUACGUGGGAUUUCGCCAAAUUUGAGAAUAUGGUCAAGUACUUUUACUAAAAGAACCAAAUGCUAGCAGUUGGCAACUCUGAUGAGCCCUAAUUCCCAGGGACCUAGAGAGUAUCUUCUCUUGCCAGAUUAUAUAAAUUCUUAUUUGAUCAGCUGUGACAUAUUCUGUAUGCAUUAGCUGCAUUUUUACAUGGCUUUCCAGAGCAAGCCAUAAUAAAGUCUUCAUCUGGAAGUUUAUUUUUAAAAUCCUUUUUUAGAGUGGGUGUGGUGGCUCAUGCCUGUAAUCUCAGCACUUUGGGAGGCCUAGGCAGGUGAAUCAUGAGGUCAAGAGUUCAAUGCAAGCCUGGCCAAAAUGGUGAAACCCCGUCUCUACUAAAAAUACAAAAAUUAGCGAGGUGUGGUGUCCGGUAUCUGUAAUCUCAGCUACUCGGGAGACUGUGGCAGGGAAAUGCUUGAACCCUGGAGGCGGAGGUUGCAGUGAGACAAGAUCGCGCCACUGCACUCCAGCCCUGGUGACAGAGUGAGACUCUGUCUCAGAAAAAAAAAAAUCCUCUUUUUAGGCUAUUCUUCUUUCUCCUAAAUCACUCUCAUUCUCCAGGUGUGGUCUGUGGAUUAACAGCAUCAGCAUUGGCUGGAAACUAAUUAGAAAUGCAAGUUAUGGGGCCCCACUCCAGAUCUAUUUCAGAAACUGGGAGGCUGACUGAGCCUUGCAUCUUGUCAAGUCAUCCAAGCAAUUUUAAUACAUGCUAGUGUUUGAGCACCACCUUCCUAAGAUCAUGCAUGAGCUCUGUCAGCCUGGGUAACCCUCAUGCACUGGGUUUUGGGGGAGAGCUAGAGCAGGUUUGUCAACCUCUCCCCUUUUUUCUCUAUUUGUUCCAUACUCAGUUCCACCAGGGCCUUUUCUUUAGAUGCUCAGGAGCCUGUAUUGGAGGUAAAAAAAAAAUUGCCUUUCUCUUUGUUCUUUUGUUUUAACAAACCUAAUCUUCCUUAAGUGUGAAACCACAUUGGUUUCAUCUGACUGAGAAGGGGAGGGGGUGGUAAAAUGAAGUAUAGAAAAUGAACAAAAGCUUUUUAGAAACAAACACUCUUGCCAUCUGAGAAGAUAAUGUCAAACAGUUAUAUAGUUUAUCUAAUUUAAUAUAUUUUUUAUUUUUAGCAGAUAUAGCACAUGGAGAAAAUAUCCCAUCAUGUAAACAAAAAUCCAUGAAAUAAAUGUUGCUUUGCCUUGUGCUUACUGUAUAUGUG